rnacentral:lncRNA from 1 species
AGGCAUUUCGUGCCUUGACAGAAGAAAAUGAAGAGCGAAAAACCGUUUGAGACGAUGCAAAGUCGUGUGAGAAAAGGGUGGCAUUUAGUUGUUGCCUUGGCUUCGGGUGGGUUGGAUGCAGCAUCGUGUGUGUAUGUGUGAGAUGCCACACAAUUUAAAUAUCAGCAAUUCUAAGAGUCGAAGACACAUGCAAGAAGUUUCCCUCGAAACCAACCAAUAUCUGAUGAUAGCUUACUAAUUAAAGACAAGUUGUAAUAUUCUGUUUCACUGUAAGUAUACUCAACCAUUUUUUUUUUUUUUUUUGCUAUAUUCUAACGAAGUUUAAUUUUACUUUAACGAGUACAAAGACAGACUAUCAUUUAUCUUUCGCGUAAUCUAAUUUUCUUAUAAGUUUCCGCAUUCUUAUUUUCUGCUUAAAAGCAAAAAGAUAUUCUCCAUGUUCACGUUCGAAUCGGCCAGAAUGCAGCGACAAGGAAUAAGGUAGGAUCUUAUUGUUUAGAUUCUGUGGUUCUCAACCAAUUUUUCUUUUCUUUUUGCCAAUGGACCCGUUUGAUUUCUAUUUUAUUCUGGCGGAUCCUCAUAGGCAUUUCAUGGUUCAAAAAUCCCAUUAUAUUUUUAUUAUUAAAUAUUAUUCGGAAUUAUAUUAUUUAACAAAAUCUUACAUGAACCUUCAUUGAGAGCCACUAAAUCCUAGCUGUUUCUAUGUACA